rnacentral:rRNA from 1 species
AACGUACGCUGGCGGCAGGCCUAACACAUGCAAGUCGAGCGAGAUCUUCGGGUCUAGCGGCGGACGGGUGAGUAACGCGUGGGAAUAUGCCUCUUGGUACGGAAUAGCCUCGGGAAACUGGGAGUAAUACCGUAUGUGCCCUUUGGGGGAAAGAUUUAUCGCCAAGAGAUUAGCCCGCGUUGGAUUAGGUAGUUGGUGGGGUAAUGGCCUACCAAGCCGACGAUCCAUAGCUGGUUUGAGAGGAUGAUCAGCCACACUGGGACUGAGACACGGCCCAGACUCCUACGGGAGGCAGCAGUGGGGAAUCUUAGACAAUGGGGGCAACCCUGAUCUAGCCAUGCCGCGUGAGUGAUGAAGGCCUUAGGGUUGUAAAGCUCUUUCAGCUGGGAAGAUAAUGACGGUACCAGCAGAAGAAGCCCCGGCUAACUCCGUG